GAGCCAACACCUUUGGCUUUUUCUCUAGAAAUUUCUGGGGAACUUCGAACCGCCUUAAAUUCCGACACUUUUAGCUCCGAUUUGUGCAAAUUUCUUACUUUUUCUUCGAACCACAUGAGCGUCCAGAAGAUUGUCCCGACGAUUGGGUUGUCCUUUAUGUUUACCCUUUUAAAGUAGGUCUUAGGCUACCCUUUCCACCCAUAGUCAGAGAUCUUCUGCAAGUUUUCCAAAUUAGCUCGGGAAAGAUAAUGCAUGGGGGGUCCUUAGCGUCGUUGAUGGAGCAACAUCCACCUGGGACAAAUAUUUCACCCUUUAGGACUUUAUGUACUGCUAUGCGAUUAGGGUUAAAGGGAAAAACAGGUUAGCCUUACACGCCAGAGCGAAAAGAAACGCGCUAGUCGAAGGGGUACCGUCGAACGACAGAGGCUGGAAGAAUCGUUACAUCUUUGUGAAAAAAUCGUCUCUUGGUGAUUGAGGGAGUUCCUUAAUCGAAGGUUGAAAUAUAGAAGAUUUGGACCCAAAACUGCUAGUACGCAAUGAAGUAUCAGAAAAAGGUGCAGGGAGUUCUUAGAAUUUGGUGAAGAAGAAUGAUCGUUCAAGAAAAUUGUUGUUGUUGACCAAGGCUGUUGCUCCUCAAUGGCGUCAGAUUCUUCGCAAUCACGACAGAGGGGAUCUACGGACGGUCGUGCCCUAGCUAAGGGUCUUAGAAAGAGAAAGAGGGGGAACAGAACAUUCUACUGCGUCAUCUACCACAACGUCUGACAAACAGAGACAUCAUGAUGUCGUCCACGUCGAGGAUGACGACGCUGCCAUUAUCACCAAAAAGUUCGUAAGUCUGAAUUAUCUGCCCCUCAUGACAAAGACGGACUAUCAUACUCCGUGACAGCUCCUAACUAUUUUAUGUCGUCAAACAAGUCAAUCUGGCCUGAAGCGGAGAAAUUCCUCUUUCUGGAGCUGAGGAUCGUUUGCGAGACCGUCUUACGCCAGGGUUAAUGUCAGAUGGUUUAGAGAUGAUAUUCAAGGUGUCAUAGUGACUCAUACUCUUGUUUUUUUUUUUUUACCUCUGUUCAUAAUGAUUUCUAACUGUGGUCUUUGUGCACCAGGCUCGUCGCAACAUUUUUUAAUGGUUAAGAAGGAGAUAUAAUCGCUUUACCAAAGCCUGAUGUGAUGAGAAGAAUGAAGCGGUUUUGAAAGAGAAGGACGCAGAAAUAAAGAGGGUUUGUCUUGAAAUGACAAAGGUGACAAAGGCUCUGAAGAAGAACGGGGAUGAACUAGAGGGUCUAAGGAAGAAGGCUCCAGACGUUGAAGAGGCCUCACGGAUUGAAAUUGAGGCGUUACAGGUACAAGUCGCUGCGCAAAAGAACGAGCUGGAUGGAAUGGAAGUUUAGGUGACCACAACGAUCAGGGCCAAACUUAUGUAUGAAUAUAUAAUGGGGCGUAAGUGUAGUGGGAACGUCAUAAGGAAAUUUAUCUGUACCUCAAAUGGGUAGGCUCGAUGAAGGACUUGAUGAGACAGAACGAUCUGGUUAAAACGAAUGCAGAGUCUUCUCUGAGUGUUGGUCAGCAAGAGGAUGAUGUCUUUGCUACAAGUGCAACAUUGAUGACGUAUGACAUUUCACAGGACAACGAUUCAGAGAUGGGAAUUGUGCCUGUUCCAGUAUGGAAUAAAUGCUGAUGGAUGACAGGCUAAAGUCGUAUCGCCAAACCAAAAUUAAUCCUAAAGUCCUCUAACAAAUAAUAGUCAGGGAAGUAGGGUCGAAUCCACAGGGAAAAACAGUGUUCUUUUCCUAAUUGUCGAUCAAAUCUAGAUUAUAGGGAACAAGUGUUGUUGGUCAUUACACUAAACUAGACAAUAACUAAAUCAGGAAUAUCAAUAAUAAAAAGCCUAGGGUAUGGGUUAACUAGUGAACAAUAAUUCCAGGAUGAAACACAACAAUCAAUAAUUAAUAAUGCAGUUAAACAGGUUAAUUUGUUCUCUCGAAUCGAAAUCAACCAUAGAAUAAUAUUAACAAGCUCUC